rnacentral:rRNA from 1 species
GUCCACGCCCUAAACGAUGUCAACUGGUUGUCGGGGAAGCAAUUCCUUGGUAACGAAGCUAACGCGUGAAGUUGACCGCCUGGGGAGUACGGCCGCAAGGUUAAAACUCAAAGGAAUUGACGGGGACCCGCACAAGCGGUGGAUUAUGUGGAUCAAUUCGAUGCAACGCGAAAAAACCUUACCUACCCUUGACAUGUACGGAACCCUUCAGAGAUGGAGGGGUGCCCGAAAGGGAGCCGUAACACAGGUGCUGCAUGGCUGUCGU